CCUACGGGGGGCAGCAGUGGGGAAUAUUGGACAAUGGGCGAAAGCCUGAUCCAGCCAUGCCGCGUGUGUGAAGAAGGCCUUCGGGUUGUAAAGCACUUUCAGUGGGGAAGAAAGCCUUGGGGCUAAUACCCUCGAGGAAGGACAUCACCCACAGAAGAAGCACCGGCUAACUCCGUGCCAGCAGCCGCGGUAAUACGGAGGGUGCGAGCGUUAAUCGGAAUUACUGGGCGUAAAGCGCGCGUAGGCGGUCUGAUAAGCCGGUUGUGAAAGCCCCGGGCUCAACCUGGGAACGGCAUCCGGAACUGUCAGGCUAGAGUGCAGGAGAGGAAGGUAGAAUUCCCGGUGUAGCGGUGAAAGGCGUAGAGAUCGGGAGGAAUACCAGUGGCGAAGGCGGCCUUCUGGACUGACACUGACGCUGAGGUGCGAAAGCGUGGGUAGCAAACAGGAUUAGAUACCCCGUAGUC
rnacentral:rRNA from 1 species